rnacentral:rRNA from 1 species
UACGUAGGGUGCAAGCGUUGUCCGGAUUUAUUGGGUUAAGGGUGCGUAGGCGGCCCUGUAAGUCAGUGGUGAAUAACCGUCCAGGCUUAAGCUGGAGGGUGCCAUUGAUACUGCAGGGCUUGAGUUAAGUUGAAGUUGGCGGAAGUUGAACGGGUGUAGCGGUGAAAUGGCGAUUAGAGUAUCGUCAAGAACACCUGAUAGUGAAGACAGCUAACUAAACGUUUACUGACGCUGAGGCACGAAAGUGUGGGAUCAAACAGG